rnacentral:rRNA from 1 species
AGGACGAACGCUUGCGGCAUGCCUGAGAAAUGCAAGUCGAGCGGGGAGAGGGGCAACCCUUUUCUAGCGGCGAACGGUCGAGUAACGCGUAAGCAACCUGCCCGGAAGCGGGGGAUAAGCCGGAGAAAUCCGGGGUAAUACCGCAUAGCUUGGGGGGAGACCUCUCCCUUCAAGAAAGGUGAGCGAUCAUCACUUUCGGAGGGGCUUGCGGCCUAUCAGCUAGUUGGGGGGGUCACGGCCUCCCAAGGCGACGACGGGUAGCUGGUCUGAGAGGACGGCCAGCCGGACUGGGACUGAGACACGGCCCAGACUCCUACGGGGGGCAGCAAUCAGGAAUCUUGCACAAUGGACGAAAGUCUGAUGCAGCGAUGCCGCGUGGGUGAGGAAGUCCUUCGGGAUGUAAAGCCCUUUCUGGAGGACGAUGAUGACGGUACUCCAGGAAUAAGCCCCGGCUAACUACGCGCCAGCAGCCGC